GAGCAGGGAGGCCAGUGUGGAUCUUGAUCCCAGAACCCCAGGAUCAUGACCUGAGCUGAAGGCUGAUGCUUGAUGACUGAGCCAUCCAGGAGCCCCUCACUUUGAGUUUUGAUUCUUAAGUUGUUGGGGUGGAGCUGAAACCCAAAUUAUGUGGGAACUUUUCCUUUGUAAGUUCUUGGCCAGAGACCUUAGGCACACCUGCCUCUGUCUGGGUGGGCUGGAGCCCUCUGGGAAGGCAUCGAUGCAUCCACUUAGGGUAGCAUGGCUGAGACAAGGCUUGGAGGAGUGAGUGGGAGCAGGAGAUGUGGCAUUGUUAGGAUCCUGCCCAACGAGCAGUGAGGGUUUUGGGUGACACAAGGGACUUCGGGUAUGGGACUCAGUGGCCCCAAGGGCAGGGGGGCUUGGAGGCAGAGAACCCCUGCAAAAGGAGGGUCGGGGAGACCUGGGAUGGGGUGCAGAGAGGAGGGCAGGAAGCUGGUGAGUGGAUUACUAAGACCCAGAUUGACCCAGAGGCAAAGGCUUGGCGAUCACUUCUUUCCCAAAGGAGAGAAGAACUUGUUGUGUGGGAGUGCAAGGUCGUAUGGAGUGAGCGGUGGAUGUUGAGAGGAGAGCGGUCCAGGAAAAACUUGUCAGAGGCUGAGCUCUGGCUGUAGGCUGUGGAGGGAAGGGAGGGUGCUGGCGGGGGGCGGGUUUGAUAUGGUCUCUGCCACUCAGGCUGGGGGAGUGGACCAGAUGCAAGCCUCUUGCCCUUCCUGAGGCUCAGGGGAGCGCCAGCCCCACUGGAUUACUGAGAGGGAGAGUGAACUGAAGGCUGGGGACACAGGUAAUGGGUCCUAGAGGAGGCUGGAGAGAUUGCUGAGCUGGUGGGUGGGAAUGUCAGCCAGCACGAGCAGUGUCCCUGCCAACCAGGGCACAGGAUUUGGGACACUGAGGAGGAGGCCGCAGUCAGAGGAAGGGGAAGAGUGGCAAGUCGAGGAAAACAUAGGAGGCUUUGCACCUAGAGCCGUGUAAGUUCAAGGUCCGGUCGGGGGCUGUGAGGUGCUGUCUGGCUCUGGGGAGCUGAGGAAGGCGGGGGCAGGGAAGAAUGAGACCAUCCAAGGUUCUGGACUCGAGUGCAUGUGGGAAGUCAUGGUGACCACAUUCCAGGAGAGAAGCGGGGUUUUAUGGCUGUGGGUAGGGAAUGCUUCACUUUUGGAUGGGGAGAUUGAAAUCAUUCAUUCAUUCAUUUAUUCAACCAAAACUGAAUUGAGCCCCUACCCUCUCCCAAGACCUUGGCUGGAUUCUGAGGAUACAGCAUCGUCCCAGACGGACUUCUCUGCCUUUAUGGAGUAAGAAAGGCAGACAGAAGAGCGAAUUGGUAAGUGAGCCAGACCACCAUGGACGGCCCUACAGGAUGCUGGAAGGAAACAAUGAGGAUGCAGAGCCAGGUGUCACCAGCUUGACCUCAGACUCAGUCAGCAAAGCUUCAGUGAUGAACUACCAUCUGAGUGGAGACCUGAGGGAUCAGAAAGGGUCCAUCCCGAAUAAGUCUUCAGAAUCUGGGGGACGUCUUGCAUUUACAGCAUGGCUCACCUCAGGCCAGACCCUCAUCAAACCUCCCUGAGCCACAGCACCAUACAAGGGGGGCUUUAGUUUUAGCCGAAUUCGACACAUGUCUGGAGGUUUCUGGAAGGUUUUCGGAAGAAUGCUUUCUCAGCUCCAGCUUACUGCCACAUCCGGAAAUUGUUUUCCAAGUGUGUCUGGGAUUUUGAGUUUGCGUAUUUUCUGGCUUCUUGGAUACUGCCUAGUAAAACACUGAAAAAUAGCA